rnacentral:rRNA from 1 species
UACGUAGGGACCAAGCGUUGUUCGGAUUUACUGGGCGUAAAGGGCGCGUAGGCGGCGCGGUAAGUCACUUGUGAAAUCUCUGAGCUUAACUCAGAACGGCCAAGUGAUACUGCAGUGCUAGAGUGUGGAAGGGGCAAUCGGAAUUCUUGGUGUAGCGGUGAAAUGCGUAGAUAUCAAGAGGAACACCUGAGGUGAAGACGGGUUGCUGGGCCAACACUGACGCUGAGGCGCGAAAGCCAGGGGAGCGAAUGGG